GACACCGGGCGGGGCCAGGACAAGCCGCGGGAGGGUGGGGUUCCUGACACAACUGGCGUGCACGGGAGGGGCUGUGGCGAUUCACCAUCGCAGUGGCCUCCAGCUGUCAUCCCCUAAGACUAGCACAGCUCACAGAUAGGAUGGCAUCACUUGCUCUCUCUUCCUGGCCCGGCUGUGUCUGUCUCUCACAGACACCCUGGACGUGUAGAGGGCAGAGACGUGAGGCCACUGGGGUUAAAGCUGCGAGGAGGUGGGGGAGGGCAAGAAUGCAGGGUCGUCAAGGAAGACCCCACAGCUGUGGCAGGACCCUCUGUGGCCACGCCCACGAAUACGUAUGUGAACGGAACCGACCCUGCCACGCCAGGACAGUCAGGUGCUUCCCAGUCCCUCCACGCCCCUCGAGGAAAUACAGAACGAACUGGGAGUCAGGCACAUGCGCUCACCAGAGAGAGGAACAGUGAGAAGGCAAGCCACCAGGUCCAGGACUCGAACUGCAAUCGGCCACGUGUGAACCCAGUGCCCCAACCGUCAUGCCACCUGCUGACGCUGUUACCAUGAAGCUUUACCUUAGAAGAUGCACUGAACUAUUGCCGACGGCUGCAGAAACCCGGCGGCCUCCCCAGCACUCACGUUCGGAGCCUCGCCGUCAGCCUCCCCCAGCUCCCCACUCAGCCCACACGCCUCUGCUCGUGGCCCUGAGACUGAGACGUGGGGCCUGCUGUGAGCACACGCUCACGGGACGUGGGAUUCUCUAGUUGUGAAGUUGUAUGCAGCCAGGAACCAGGACGGGCCCUGGCCGAGGGAAGGAAACCACGGCUCACCCACACCCACGCAGUCUUACGAGGGAUGGAAAGAAGGGGAAGGGGGCUCCAUAAGGAAGGUACCAGUUAGUCGGCUAGCUCAUGAACAGGCGACACGGCCCUGAAGUCUCGUGAGACCUGGAGGUUCCAUGGCCCUCGGAAGUGAGAAAACCAGGGCACAGAGAGGCUGGGGACCAGGCCGAGGUCACGCUUCUAGGUAUGACAAGGGGAGCAGGAGAGUCCAGGUGUGUCCAAGUCCACACUCCUCUAUCCUGACUCCUGGUUCCCUUGUUACACACUGGAGCCUGGACGAUGUACCCACAUAGGCCUGUGCCCACCGGCUUGCCUUCUCCGGAGUUCACCAUCCAGCCUGCGAGUCAGGGGAGCAUGAAAACACCCAUGGAUUUUGGGCACGUGCUGUCGGCAUGCCCCUGCAGCUGCCGGGUCAAGGACUGGAACUGCACAGUCGGCCAA